GAUGAAGAACGCAGUGAAAUGCGAUAAGUAGUGUGAAUUGCAGAAUUCAGUGAAUCAUCGAAUCUUUGAACGCACAUUGCGCCCCUUGGUAUUCCAUGGGGCAUGCCUGUUCGAGCGUCAUUUGUACCUUCAAGCUCUGCUUGGUGUUGGGUGAUUGUCUAUCUUUAUAGACUCGCCUUAAAGUCAUUGGCAGCCGGCAUAUUGGCCUGGGAGCGCAGCACAAGUCGCGCUUCUUGUCAUGAAUGUUGGCGUCCAGUAAGUCUACAUAUUUUGCUCUUGACCUCGGAUCAGGUAGGGAUACCCGCUGAACUUAAGCAUAUCAAUAAGCGGAGG
rnacentral:misc_RNA from 1 species